UACGAAGGGGGGCUAGCGUUGCUCGGAAUCACUGGGCGUAAAGCGCACGUAGGCGGCUUUCUAAGUCAGGGGUGAAAUCCUGGAGCUCAACUCCAGAACUGCCUUUGAUACUGGAGAGCUUGAGUCCGGAAGAGGUGAGUGGAACUCCGAGUGUAGAGGUGAAAUUCGUAGAUAUUCGGAAGAACACCAGUGGCGAAGGCGGCUCACUGUCCGGUACUGACGCUGAGGUGCGAAAGCGUGGGGAGCAAACAGG
rnacentral:rRNA from 1 species